rnacentral:rRNA from 1 species
AGUGAACGCUGGCGGUAGGCCUAGCACAUGCAAGUCGAACGGCAGCACAGUAAGAGCUUGCUCUUACGGGUGGCGAGUGGCGGACGGGUGAUGAAUACAUCGGAAUCUACUUUUUCGUGGGGGAUAACGUAGGGAAACUUACGCUAAUACCGCAUACGACCUACGGGUGAAAGCAGGGGAUCUUCGGACCUUGCGCGAUUGAAUGAGCCGAUGUCGGAUUAGCUAGUUGGCGGGGUAAAGGCCCACCAAGGCGACGAUCCGUAGCUGGUCUGAGAGGAUGAUCAGCCACACUGGAACUGAGACACGGUCCAGACUCCUACGGGAGGCAGCAGUGGGGAAUAUUGGACAAUGGGCGCAAGCCUGAUCCAGCCAUACCGCGUGGGUGAAGAAGGCCUUCGGGUUGUAAAGCCCUUUUGUUGGGAAAGAAAAGCAGCAGGUUAAUACCCCGCUGUUCUGACGGUACCCAAAGAAUAAGCACCGGCUAACUUCGU